AUCUCUACUUGGCCUUUCAGCUAAGAUCAAGUGUAGAAUCUGUUCUUAUCAGUUUAAUAUCUGAUAUGUCCUCUAUCUGAGGAUGUAACAAAAAAAGAAAGAAAGAAAAAAAGACAGACAACUGAUCCCUAUUUAGAGAGUACCAACAGGGUUGAGGCCAG
rnacentral:snRNA from 1 species